ACAGCCGCCGCGGUAAUACGAAGGGGGCUAGCGUUGUUCGGAAUUACUGGGCGUAAAGCGCACGCAGGCGGUGACCACAGUCAGAAGUGAAAGCCCUGGGCUCAACCCGGGAAUUGCUUUUGAUACUAGGUUACUAGAAUCACGGAGAGGGUAGUGGAAUUCCGAGUGUAGAGGUGAAAUUCGUAGAUAUUCGGAAGAACACCAGUGGCGAAGGCGACUACCUGGCCGUCGAUUGACGCUCAUGUGCGAAAGCGUGGGGAGCAAACAGGAUUAGAUACCCUGGUAGUCCACGCCGUAAACGAUGAGUGCUAGUUGUUGGGGUGCAUGCACCUCAGUGACGCAGCUAACGCGUUAAGCACUCCGCCUGGGGAGUACGGCCGCAAGGUUAAAACUUAAAGGAAUUGGCGGGGGA
rnacentral:rRNA from 1 species